GAUGAACGCUGGCGGCGUGCCUAAUACAUGCAAGUCGAGCGAACAGACGAGGAGCUUGCUCCUCUGACGUUAGCGGCGGACGGGUGAGUAACACGUGGAUAACCUACCUAUAAGACUGGGAUAACUUCGGGAAACCGGAGCUAAUACCGGAUAAUAUAUUGAACCGCAUGGUUCAAUAGUGAAAGACGGUUUUGCUGUCACUUAUAGAUGGAUCCGCGCCGCAUUAGCUAGUUGGUAAGGUAACGGCUUACCAAGGCAACGAUGCAUAGCCGACCUGAGAGGGUGAUCGGCCACACUGGAACUGAGACACGGUCCAGACUCCUACGGGAGGCAGCAGUAGGGAAUCUUCCGCAAUGGGCGAAAGCCUGACGGAGCAACGCCGAGUGAGUGAUGAAGGUCUUCGGAUCGUAAAACUCUGUUAUUAGGGAAGAACAAAUGUGUAAGUAACUAUGCACGUCUUGACGGUACCUAAUCAGAAAGCCACGGCUAACUACGUG
rnacentral:rRNA from 1 species